AUUGAACGCUGGCGGCAUGCUUUACACAUGCAAGUCGAACGGCAGCACGGGGGCAACCCUGGUGGCGAGUGGCGAACGGGUGAGUAGCACAUCGGAACGUGCCCAGUUGUGGGGGAUAACCUAUCGAAAGGUAGGCUAAUACCGCAUGAGCUCGGCAAGAGGAAAGCGGGGGACUCAGCGAUGGGCCUCGCGCGACUGGAGCGGCCGAUGUCCGAUUAGCUAGUUGGUGGGGUAAAGGCUUACCAAGGCGACGAUCGGUAGCUGGUCUGAGAGGAUGAUCAGCCACACUGGGACUGAGACACGGCCCAGACUCCUACGGGAGGCAGCAGUGGGGAAUUUUGGACAAUGGGGCAACCCUGAUCCAGCCAUGCCGCGUGAGUGAAGAAGGCCUGGUUGUAAGUAC
rnacentral:rRNA from 1 species